AUCAUGGCGUCCCUGCGUAUCUCCGU
rnacentral:sRNA from 1 species